rnacentral:ncRNA from 1 species
UUCUGCCCGGUGCUCUGAAUGUCAAAAUGAUGAAAUUCAAGAAAGUGCGGGCAAACAGUGGGGGUAACUAUGACUCUCACUUACAUUAAAGUGGCGAAAUGCCUUGUCAGACUUUUUGCGGCGUCGGUUCUAAACUGCACAACGAGGACAAACGAA